rnacentral:rRNA from 1 species
CGACCUGAGCUCAUGCAAGAUUACCCGCUGAACUUAAGCAUAUCAAUAAGCGGAGAA